rnacentral:rRNA from 1 species
AUGAACGCUGGCGGCGUGCUUAACACAUGCAAGUCGAACGAUGAAGCCCAGCUUGCUGGGUGGAUUAGUGGCGAACGGGUGAGUAACACGUGAGUAACCUGCCCUUAACUCUGGGAUAAGCCUGGGAAACUGGGUCUAAUACCGGAUAGGAGCGUCCACCGCAUGGUGGGUGUUGGAAAGAUUUAUCGGUUUUGGAUGGACUCGCGGCCUAUCAGCUUGUUGGUAAGGUAAUGGCUCACCAAGGCGACGACGGGUAGCCGGCCUGAGAGGGUGACCGGCCACACUGGGACUGAGACACGGCCCAGACUCCUACGGGAGGCAGCAGUGGGGAAUAUUGCACAAUGGGCGCAAGCCUGAUGCAGCGACGCCGCGUGAGGGAUGACGGCCUUCGGGUUGUAAACCUCUUUCAGUAGGGAAGAAGCGAAAGUGACGGUACCUGCAGAAGAAGCACCGGCUAACUACGUG